AGUGAACGCUGGCGGUGUGCCUAAUACAUGCAAGUCGAACGACCACAUAAUGAGCUUUCUCCUUUGCCGUUAGCGGCUGACGGGUGAGUAACGCGUAGAUCACCUUCCUCUUUUACUGGGGUAACUUCGUGGAGCCGGUUCCACUACCAGCUCAUAUAUCCUACCGCAUGGUUCAAUAGUUCUUCGCGGUUUUCCUGUCUCUUAUAGCUGGAUUCGUGCCGCAUUAGCUAGUUGGUAAGGUAACGGCACACCAAGGCAACGAUGCGUAGCCGAUCUGAGAGGAUGAUCAGCCACACUGGAACUGAGACACGGUCCAGACUCCUACGGGAGGCAGCAGUAGGGAAUAUUGGACAAUGGGCGAAAGCCUGAUGCAGCCAUACCGCGUGAGUGAAGAAGGUCUUCGGAUUGUAAAGCCCUUUUAUUAGGGAAGAAAAAAAGCAGGUGAAAACACGGAUGUUUUGACGGUACCCAAAGAAUAAGCCACGGCUAACUUCGUG
rnacentral:rRNA from 1 species